rnacentral:rRNA from 1 species
UACGUAGGGUGCAAGCGUUGUCCGGAAUUAUUGGGCGUAAAGAGCGUGUAGGCGGCCCGAUUAGUCCGCUGUGAAAGUCCAGGGCUCAACCCUGGAAUGCCGGUGGAUACUGUCGGGCUAGAGUCCGGAAGGGGCGAGUGGAAUUCCAGGUGUAGCGGUGAAAUGCGUAGAUAUCUGGAGGAACACCGGUGGCGAAGGCGGCAUCCUGGACCGGUAUUGACGCUGAGGAGCGAAAGUCAGGGGAGCAAACGGG